GACGAACGCUGGCGGCGUGCCUAAUACAUGCAAGUAGAACGCUGAAGGAGGAGCUUGCUUCUCUGGAUGAGUUGCGAACGGGUGAGUAGCGCGUAGGUAACCUGCCUGGUAGCGGGGGAUAACUAUUGGAAACGAUAGCUAAUACCGCAUAAGAGUAGAUGUCGCAUGACAUUUGCUUAAAAGGUGCAAUUGCAUCACUACCAGAUGGACCUGCGUUGUAUUAGCUAGUUGGUGAGGUAACGGCUCACCAAGGCAACGAUACAUAGCCGACCUGAGAGGGUGAUCGGCCACACUGGGACUGAGACACGGCCCAGACUCCUACGGGAGGCAGCAGUAGGGAAUCUUCGGCAAUGGACGGAAGUCUGACCGAGCAACGCCGCGUGAGUGAAGAAGGGUUUCGGAUCGUAAAGCUCUGUUGUAAGAGAAGAACGAGUGUGAGAGUGGAAAGUUCACACUGUGACGGUAUCUGACCAGAAAGGGACGGCUAACUACGUG
rnacentral:rRNA from 1 species